UUGUCUGACGCUAAGGCUCGAAAGCGUGGGUAGCAAAACGGAUUAGAUACCCGUGUAGUCCACGCCGUAAACUAUGGAUGCUAGGUGUUUGGUACAACUACUUAAUUCUUCGGAAUUUAGUGGAAGUAUUGAGUGCCGCAGCUAACGCGUUAAGCAUCCCGCCUGGGAAGUACGGCCGCAAGGCUAAAACUCAAAUGAAUUGGCGGGGACCCGCACAAGCAGAGGAGCGCGUGGUUUAAUUCGAUGGCAAUCGAAGAACCUUACCAGGGUUUGAAAUAUACCUGCAUACCUCCGGAAACGGAGGAAUCUUUCGAAGGUGGUAUACAGGUGCUGCAUGGCCGUCGUCAGCUCGUGUCGUGAGAUGUAGGGUUAAGUCCCGAAACGAGCGCAACCCCUAUCCCAUGUUACAAGUGUCUUGGGAAACUGCCUCGGUAAAACGGGGAGGAAGGUGGGGAUGACGUCUGGUCCGCAUAGCCCUUAUGUCCUGGGCUACACACGCGCUACAAUGGUCGGUACAAUGGGAAGCCAAAUCGUAAGAUGGAGCUAAUCCUCUAAAACCGAUCUCAGUUCGGAUUGUGGGCUGAAACUCGCCCACAUGAAGUUGGAUUUGCUAGUAAUCGUGGAUCAGCCAUGCCACGGUGAAUACGUUCUCGGGUCUUGCACACACCGCCCGUCAAGCCAUGGAAGUAGGUGAUACCCGAAGGUGUUCCGCUCCUUGUGAGUGGGAUGACGAAGGUAACGCUUAUAACUGGGGUUAAGUCGUAACAAGGUAGCCGUAGGGGAAUCUGCGGCUG
rnacentral:rRNA from 1 species